UCCAUGCAACGAAAAAUAUUUCAACAUAGUCAUGAUCGCUUUUUAAAAUUCAAAUUUUUUCAUCAGAACAAAAUUUUUCCUCGUACAAUAGGCCCACUCAAAAUUUUUGUUUGCACAUUUUUUUUUUGUCUACUAGUGAAUUCUGAAUUGGUUCAAUACCAAUUAAAAAAUCGUCCGAAGAUGUGUUGUUCUCCAUGCGCACCCUCCUGCGGUCCGUGCAAUCCAUGUGGACCGUGUGGCCCCUGCGGAUGUUCCCGGCCAUGUGGGCCGAGCGGUUCAUAUGGUUCUUGUCUCGAGUGUCGUAAGCCCUGCGGCGAGUCUAAUAUUUGCUGCCCUACGGGCUGUUUCUAUUUCGGCUGAAAGACCAUCAUCGUGUGAACGAAUUGAAAGGAUGUCUGUUUGCAAGCACCAUGAAGGUGUAAGUUGUUGGUACCCGCUUCUGCUGCAGACACCAAACGUACUGGAAUUUGCUAAGAUGGUGUAAAAAUGCUGAAAGAGCUAAGUGCAUAUGGAUACAUACAUACAUAUGUACAUAGCAGAACAUGAGAAUUGUGCAAAUUAAAUUUUGAGUGUGAGCAAACAAAUAUUGGCCAAUAAAUAAUAGACCAUAAACUAAAAA